CGAAAGCCUGACGGAGCAAGUCCGCGUGAGGGAUGAAAGGCUCUUGGUUUGUAAACCUCUUUUCUCAGGGAAGAAACCUGACGGUACCUGAGGAAUAAGCAUCGGCUAACUCCGUGCCAGCAGCCGCGGUAAUACGGAGGAUGCAAGCGUUAUCCGGAAUUAUUGGGCGUAAAGCGUUCGCAGGUGCCUGUUCAAGUCUGCUGUCAAAGACCGGGGCUUAACCCUAGAAAGCCAGUGGAAACUGAGCGGCUUAGAGUGCAGUAUGGAUAGAGGGAAUUCCCAGUGUAGCGGUGAAAUGCGUAGAGAUUGGGAAGAACACCGGUGGCGAAAGCGCUCUGCUGGACUGCAACUGACACUGAGGGACGAAAGCUAGGGGAGCG
rnacentral:rRNA from 1 species